UACAUGCACGUGCAGCGACCCACACCGGCGGUGCGGACAGGCAUCGUUUUGUCGUGCAGCUGAUCGACCAACUAACUCGCGUCCACAGUCAGUUAAUGCUGCGUCACUGUUCCUGCCGCUAUCUGGUUUUAGUAACAUGGUCCGCGUAAGGCGAUUGUGGUAUCGAUUCCAUGUGUUGGACGGCUGAUCAAAAUUUGUUGCGAACUCUGUCUGAAAGCACCGAUCUCUGACUGGGCCGAAUACGACAUCAGAUGAAACAUUGUAAUAAAAGUUAUGGUCACAUGUUA